GAUCGAUGUCGAGGAGUGGCAGAGCGUCUUCCCCGGCGACGACGGCGGCGGCGGCACCGGCCCGGGCCCAGCUCGCACCGAGGGUGGCCUCGCCAGGAAGGACAGGCCGGCCUCCACUUCCGCCGAAUUUAGUUUAAGUUCUAAGUGUAUAUUAGUUUUACUUUAAAUUUAUGUUUAUUUGUUCGGUUACGAGGACUAUCUAUGUUAAACUAUGUUUAAAUGCAUGCAUAUUUCAGUUAGAAUUUGAUUGAAUUUAUGUAAAUUUAGUUUUACUUCGCUAAUUUUAGGGGAUCAGCUAGGUAGGGCGAAAUUUUACUUAGGCCGAAUACUCCGCUACUUUUUAGGGAUGGGUUAAAAAUGCGCUUGCUAGUUGUGAAAAGGAUAGAUGUGAACAGAGGACACCACUCAGAAAAGAAAGAAAAAACAGGGGAGACCCAAACCCUACCCCCGCGGCCGCCCUCAAUUCCCAACCUCUUCCCCGCCGGAACACGGCGAGUUGCUCGCCGGAGUGCCCUCUUCCCCGAAGCCGGGACGCCGGAACGCGGAGCCGCCGCCACGGUGUGGUUCGCGAUGCCGCCAUAGCUCUCCAUCGUCCCCUGAGUUCCUGACUAGCCCCUCCAUCCGCGGUUCGGGAGGGGGUUGAUGAGGUUGAGGAAGCCUUGGGUGACCGUGGUGGCUUCUGCUCCAGAUCACCAUGUUUGGGCUCGGGUACUCUCACACGGGAGAGCUGCAGACCUGCUGUGUUGUGGGUGUAGGUGGGUGGCUGAGGAUGUAAAUUAUGGUUCGUGAUAAUUUAAGGAGAAGAUAACAAACUUCAGAGAUAUGGUUGGAUGAUGCAAUGUAAUUUUACGACAAUAUUUUCUGAAAACCACAGAUUCGGUCCCAAAAUAAAAUAAAAUUCAAA